AAAUUUACUUUUAAUGGGGCUCUCGGAGUGACGUUAAACUCACACAAUUUUGGCACUAUCCUUCCCAUUCACUCGGAAUGAGCAUGAGGUAUGAAGAGCCCU